rnacentral:rRNA from 1 species
GACGAACGCUGGCGGCGCGCUUAACACAUGCAAGUCGAACGAUGAACCGGAGCUUGCUCUGGGGAUUAGUGGCGAACGGGUGAGUAACACGUGGGCAACCUGCCCCAGACACCGGGAUAACCAUUCGAAAGGAUGGCUAAUACCGGAUACGACCACUUCGGGCAUCCGAUGGUGGUGGAAAGGAUUCUGGUCUGGGAUGGGCCCGCGGCCUAUCAGCUUGUUGGUGGGGUAAUGGCCUACCAAGGCGACGACGGGUAGCCGGCCUGAGAGGGCGACCGGCCACACUGGGACUGAGACACGGCCCAGACUCCUACGGGAGGCAGCAGUGGGGAAUAUUGCGCAAUGGGCGAAAGCCUGACGCAGCGACGCCGCGUGAGGGACGAAGGUCUUCGGAUUGUAAACCUCUUUCAGCAGGGAUGAAGCGAAAGUGACAGUACCUGCAGAAGAAGCACCGGCUAACUACGUGCCAGCCGCCGCAGUAAGAC